GAUGAACGCUAGCGGCAGGCUUAAUACAUGCAAGUCGAGGGGCAACAGGGGGUAGCAAUACCUGCUGCGACCGGCAAACGGGUGCGGAACACGUACAGAACCUUCCUUUAAGCGGGGGAUAGCCCGGAGAAAUCCGGAUUAAUACCCCAUAGUAAUAUUGACUGGCAUCAGUUGGUAUUUAAAGAUUUAUCACUUAAAGAUGGCUGUGCGGCUGAUUAGGUAGUUGGGUUGGGGUAACCGGCCCACCAAGCCCACGAUCAGUAACUGGUGUGAGAGCACGACCAGUCAC
rnacentral:rRNA from 1 species